CGGCGAGUGAAGCGGGAACAGCUCAAAUUUGAAAUCUGGCCCUCGGGUCCGAGUUGUAAUUUGUAGAGGAUGCUUUUGGUGCGGUGCCUUCCGAGUUCCCUGGAACGGGACGCCUUAGAGGGUGAGAGCCCCGUACGGUUGGACGCCUAGCCUCUGUAAAGCUCCUUCGACGAGUCGAGUAGUUUGGGAAUGCUGCUCUAAAUGGGAGGUAUAUUUCUUCUAAAGCUAAAUACUGGCCAGAGACCGAUAGCGCACAAGUAGAGUGAUCGAAAGAUGAAAAGCACUUUGAAAAGAGGGUUAAAUAGCACGUGAAAUUGUUGAAAGGGAAGCGUUUAUCACCAGACUUUUUCUAGGGGGAUCAUCCGGUGUUCUCACCGGUGCACUUCCCCUGGUUGAGGCCAGCAUCGGUUUUCGGAGGGGGAUAAAAGCUUCGGGAAUGUGACUCCCUCGGGAGUGUUAUAGCCCGUUGCAUAAUACCCUUCUGGGGACCGAGGUUCGCGCAUCUGCAAGGAUGCUGGCAUAAUGGUGAUCAACGACCCGUCUUGAAACACGGACCAAGGAGUCGAACAUUUAUGCGAGUGUUUGGGUGUCAAACCCUCACGCGUAAUGAAAGUGAACGGAGGUGAGAGCCCUUACGGGUGCAUCAUCGACCGAUCCUGAUGUCUUCGGAUGGAUUUGAGUAAGAGCAUAACUGUUCGGACCCGAAAGAUGGUGAACUAUGCGUGGAUAGGGUGAAGCCAGGAGAAAUCCUGGUGGAGGCUCGCAGCGGUUCUGACGUGCAAAUCGAUCGUCAAAUCUGCGCAUGGGGGCGAAAG
rnacentral:rRNA from 1 species